GACGGAGGGUGCUAGCGUUGCUCGGAAUCACUGGGCGUAAAGGGUGCGUAGGCGGGUCUUUAAGUCAGGGGUGAAAUCCUGGAGCUCAACUCCAGAACUGCCUUUGAUACUGAAGAUCUUGAGUUCGGGAGAGGUGAGUGGAACUGCGAGUGUAGAGGUGAAAUUCGUAGAUAUUCGCAAGAACACCAGUGGCGAAGGCGGCUCACUGGCCCGAUACUGACGCUGAGGCACGAAAGCGUGGGGAGCAAACAGG
rnacentral:rRNA from 1 species